rnacentral:snRNA from 1 species
AUACUCUGGUUUCUCUUCAGAUCACAUCCUUUGCCUUUCACUAAAGAUUUCUGUGGAGAGGAACAAGUACAAGUGUUGAUUUUUUUGAGUCUUGCAUCUGGGCAGGAA